rnacentral:tRNA from 1 species
CACCAGUUUGCCUAGUGGUUAAGGUUUCGGAUCGCCAAUCCGGAGACGACGGGUUCGAUUCCCGUUCCGGUCA